UAUGGCUCAGAUUGAACGCUGGCGGCAGGCCUUACACAUGCAAGUCGAGCGAGAAAUUUUCUUCGGAAAAGAGUAAAGCGGCGGACGGGUGAGUAACGCGUAGGAAUCUACCUAGUAGUGGGGGACAACAUGUGGAAACGCAUGCUAAUACCGCAUACGCCCUAUGGGGGAAAGCAGGGGAUCUUCGGACCUUGUGCUAUUAGAUGAGCCUGCGUCGGAUUAGUUUGUUGGUAGGGUAAUGGCCUACCAAGACUACGAUCCGUAGCUGGUCUGAGAGGAUGAUCAGCCACACUGGGACUGAGACACGGCCCAGACUCCUACGGGAGGCAGCAGUGGGGAAUAUUGGACAAUGGGCGCAAGCCUGAUCCAGCCAUGCCGCGUGUGUGAAGAAGGCUCUAGGGUUGUAAAGCACUUUCAGUAGGGAGGAAAAGUUAGUAGUUAAUAACUGCUAGCCCUGACGUACCC
rnacentral:rRNA from 1 species